GCCUCCGCGGGACAGCGCCUGGGGCGGCCUUGAGCGGCGGUCGACACCCCGCGGGCUCGCCCUGCCCCGGGGCCCCACCAGCGAUCUGGCCUGAUCUGGUCUUGGGAGUGCCGAGAGGGGCGAGGGAUGCGUGAAGUCAGAAGGCGCCAGCCAGAUGGGCAUUGCUGGGCGUGGACUCCAGCCUGCCCAAGGCGAAUCCCAGGCGGGAGCUGGGGUCAGGGCCCGAGGGCGCGCCCCGGGCUGAUGAGCCUGGGCCUGGGUCUGCGUAGUGGGCAAAAAUGUCCUGUCUUCAUGUUUCUACUUGUACUCGUGAGGCUCGGGAUAGGUUUCUGGAAGUUCUCAGAACCCUGAGACGCUUGAGAGCUUGUUAACAGAGCUCGUAGCCUGUGAACCAGAUGUCCCUCGGGGGUGACCACCGAAAUCCCAAAGCCCACGGUGACCUGAAGGAUGACUUCAGAAAUAAAACAAAAUAGAUGUUUUCUUCCUCUACCUCGCCUCUGUCGCCAUUGCUGACUUCAUGGUUCUCAGCCUCCUUGGCUGGCCUUGAACCCACUGUGUACCCUCAGUGUUCCUCCUGCCUGGGCCUCCGGAGCGCAGAGAUUACAGGUGUGUGCCAUCACACCCAGCUUGAGUCCGUAUUUGUGGUAAGAUUUUUAGAAAGUUUAACGUGUUGGCUAGCUCUCAGAGAGGCCCCAAAGGGAAUGAUGGGCUCCAGACCACGGUGGUCAUUUUGAUGACUAACACAAAGAAGUGUGUUGCCUGAGAUCCUGAAUGUAACUGCAGUGUCUGGUUUUAUUUGAAAUUCCUGUGUACAUCGAAGGGAUGAAUGUGUGAGACAACCUGUCCAUUGACCUGCUGUUCUCAGUUGUUCAGUGGCUUCUACCAGGAAAUAAAUUCUCAUUGGCUAGGCCCUCAGCAAGUUUGCCAGUUCUUCUAUUGCUUGUGCAGAGCGUUAGACUCUGGUUAGAAGCGCAGUAAGAAGGAGAAGGCUCGUCUGGCAUAGUGAGGAGAACCACAGAGUUUGUUGUAACUGGAUCCACUUCCCUGUGCCCUAUGGGAGAACUGCCUUCUGGAAGGAGAGUCAGGCAGCCCUUUGGGCCGCAUAUAGAGUGGGUACUUUUUCUCUUGACUGUUCAUUUGGGCCUCUGGAGGCCAGUCAGAGGCGAGAAGCAGUAAGAUUGUAGCAGAUGUCUGGGGAAAGGAGCCUCCUGGUAUUCCAGCAGGUAGGGUGGUUCAUUUUGCUCUCUUGGCCUUGAACUUCUUAUUUUAUUUAUUUUUUAACUUCUUCUGGUGGUUAAUAGCACCCUUUUGGAGAAGUUCUAAGGUCCCUUAUACUAAGCAGUGAGCUGUCUUUUGUUAUUAGUAUGUGGCAAUACUUCAACUAUUGCCUAACCAGGGCCCUUAUGAUGACAUUUUUGGUUUUUUGGUGUUUUUUUUUGAGAUAAGGUCUCGCUAUGCAGUCCAGGCUGCCCUUGAACUCACUGUGUAGCCCAGGCUGGCCUCAAACUCCUGCUUCAGCCUCCUGAGUGCUGGCAUUAUAGGCGUGCAGCGCCACGCCUGGCUUUAUGGUGACAUUUUUAAGCUUAUGAUAGCCAGUAGACCCUUGGAUUGAGUUGGUUUAGCAAUCUUCUAGACCAUUUCUGUGAUAGAAAUGUGGCGUGUUCUUUACCCUUUCCCUUCUCUAUACACACACAUUGGAAGCCCUGCUUCCAAACAUUGAAAAAUGUAGGAAUCAUUUCAGAUCAGGUAGGCAAUGGCUACAGAGAAAAGGAGGCAGAGCCAAGGCUGAGGAUUUAGCUCAGUGGUUUCACCGCCUGGUGCACAAGCGCAAGGACUCAAGUUCGAUCCCUGGCACACACACAAAAAAGGCAGAGCCAGUGCUUUACAGGUUAUGUGGAGCAUGAGAAAGUCAGGGAGGUAGCGGAGGACUUUUGCCUUCCUAGGGUCACAGGGUCCAAGCUUAGACCUUGUGGGCUGCCGUGCCCUUUCUUACAGCUUUAUUCGGUGCAGCAUCUGAAGUGUUCCCGUGGCUGAGCCGACUGUGACUGUCUCCCUAGCCUGGCCUGCACCGGGGCUGCUGCUAGAGGCUGGAGAAAGCUGGCCACUGCCGGCCUGAGGAGCAGACCUCGGUAGGGAAUGCACUUGUUGGUUUUGCCCUUUGCUUUUGUUUUGAAUACUCAUUCAGCUCCUUGUGGGAUUUCUAGACCUGUUGUAGGAGAGAAAAAAGCUCUUUUUCUUUUCUUACUUUAUCAACCCAGGAUAUUAAGUCUGUUUCAGAAAUAAAAUGGAAACUUUCUCUUAAGAUGCUCAUCAUGACCAGCAGUUUUAAAUUUUUGUUUUUUCCAGUAUUGGGGACUGAACCCAGGGGCUUUGCACAGAGCUACAUCUUGAACCCUUUUGGGGGUGGGUGAGAUAGGGGCUCUGUAUAGGUCAGGCUGGCCUUGAACUUGGCAGCUUCCUACCUCAGCCUCCUGAGACCUGGGAUUAACAGGUGUGCGCCACCCGCCCCCUCCAGCCCCCUUUUGAAAAACUUUGAUUAUUUUUUAGUUUGAGACAGGGUCUUGCUAAGUUGCCAGGGCAGGGCAGGGCAUGAACUUUUGAUCCUUGUGCCUCAGCCUCCCAGAGUGCUGGGACCAUAGGUGAGUGUCAGCUCAUUUGGCUUGGGCAAGGUCUCUCUCUUUUUUUUUUUUUUUUGGUACCAAGGAUCGAUCUCCGGACCUUGCGUUUGUGAUGCAGGCGGCGGAACCACUGAGCUAAAUCCCCGGGCUUUUUUUUUAAAUGACUCACUCUAGUGGCCUCAUUUUAUUUAUUUCUAGUUUUAGUUUGUUAGUACAUAUGUGUAGAUAUAAUGUUUACAGUCCUUGCGUGAAGUUGCCCGUAACGCAUCUUAAUUCCUUUUUCAUCCCCUUUCCUCCCACCCCCUGGACAAACUCUAUUGCUGAGCUGCCAGCCAGUCUUUGGGGAGCAGCUUUCUCUGAGGACCUCUGGUGGUGAGGCCUCACCUUCUUGUCUGCACUGUGUUGGAGCAGGGUGCACGGUGAGCAGGGGACACCAUAGAGGCCUUCACACUGCAGGCCACUGGGACGGAGCCAGAGCGGUUGCCCCUGAAGAGGGGCGCAGGUGGCACAGGGAGGUGGUUCCAGGUGACUGACUCUGCGGCUGCAGUGUGGGGAGCGGGCUUCCUCUGCAUGUCUCUGGGUGCAGCUGUGGGGUCAUGGUGCUGCUCCUCGGAGUGGCCCUCAGGCUGGUGCUCUGGGCGAAUCAGUUCUGCCCAGCACCGCGGGGAUGGGCAGAGCGCUUUCCAGCUGCCCCAGAGAGGGCACCCAGGCAGGUGGGCUGUGGGCCACACUGGGUUCUCUCACCCGUGGUCUCACUCCAAGCUGCUCUCCGCUUGUACCUUGUCAUGCAGAGGCUUAGCACGGUGACCUGCUUGGUGCCAAGUGUCCUGAGAUGCCAGUUUGGCCAUGUGUGGCACCUUGGAUUGUUAGGUGGCGUCUUAUUGUUGGUUUUGUUGUUG
ensembl:lncRNA